GUGAAUAACCUAAUAAAGAGAAGCCCAUCAAUCAUCUCGCUGUAUCCUGGCAUAACAGACGACGGUUUCUGACCCACGCACGACGCACCACCACACGGUGCCCUGCAACCCUGCCCUCUGGCGUUCCCUAGGAAACCACCCACUCGUGCAAGCCAUCUCCACCACUGCAGCCAGAUCCGGUGCAGGGCUGCGACCGCCUCCGACCAAAAAGAAUUGAGGUUCUCUGUCACUGGUUGCCGUCCGGCGCGCAGAACGUCGCCCUCCACGGAUCCAGGUGCGCCGGUCAGAUCCAACACCGGGAGCUACAACACAUGCAUCAGCACCACGCCGCUACCCUGCAGACUCGAUGCGCCCAUCGUCGGCCACCUCAACGACCUUCUCAAGAUCGGGAUCCACCACCGCCCAGUUACCCAGAAGUGACGACGACGACGGCUCUCAGACGACUUUCCCUGCUCCGGCUAAAGUGCCCCUUUAAAUUGUGGAGCGGCAUCGCUCAUCAGGUUGGUGUUGCACCUUUGAUCCAAAAUCGUGGCAUGAUGUCCAGGUUGCUCAUAGUUCACUUGCGCUCCCUCUUGCAUUAUAGACCUCAAAAGCACAUAUGUAGUAUCAUAUUUUUCAUGGUGUCCUGAGGGUACGUACAAUUGUACAGAACGCCUCCUCCUACCUAUCUCCUCCAUGUUCAGAUCGAUCUAGGGUUCCCAGGAUUUUUGUUGACGUGUUUGACUUCUGGUGAAGAUGUUGGAUCGGGUCAAGGGCACCAGAAAGUGGUUCAACACCAAAAAUUGGUUCUCAGGGUAACGUCAACUACAUAUGGAGCAUAUAUCUAUCAGCGUUUCAUAUUUCCCUUCUUUGUUCUCUCCCUCCCUCUCAUUCUCAAUUCCCCAAAAAUUUCUUCAGUGAUAUGUGAUGCUGUUGUUGAUGUAGAUACGUUCAACUGAUAUUCCUAGGCAAAUUUCCCUUUACCUUUUAUUUCUGGGGCAACUGCCAUAACAUCUCAGGGUGCAAUGGCUUGCCAAUUAAAACCCCUAAUCUGUCUAAUGUUUCUUUGUGCAGAUGUUUUGAUCUUUGUCGGCAAGGUCUUCCAUGAAACAGGUGUGAUUGAAAAAAAAGUUUGUAAUCUUUAUGCUCCAUUGCCUACCCAAUAUGUCUUUUGAAACUUUGAUGCAGUAAUUGAUAAUAAAUUAUUCAGUUCAUAAAGCAGGUCAUUAUUUGCAAUUUUGAAGAGAAGGAUUCAAAAUAUUGCCAGUUAUGUGCCAUAAGAAUAAUAUCCGGUGUCUCUUUUUGAUAGGUAUGCUAUAUUGCUGUCUUUAUAAUCUUUAUCAUUAUAUAGAUUGAACGACCAGUUCUGUCACAGUUCAUUAUUCGUACAAAUAGCUGAUUUUGUUGAGAAAAGCUUUGUUUUAUACUUCUAUAAUUGCAAGCCGUAUCUGCAGAUCCUUUUUGAAUAUUUGUCGACAAGUUUUAUGAUGAAAAAGAAAGCAGGCCAUCGAUCUUACUUAUGUUGUAUAUCUAUAUACUCAGCCGCCAUUGUUUUCCUAAGUCCGAUGCAUACUUCCAAGAAGCGUACAAUUUCAAAAGUGUUUCUACAGCACCAAAUAUAUUGACGCACUUUCAGGUCUCCUAUGUCCAGUCUUAUUCCUUCUAAUAUCUUCUUCAUGGUAAACAUUAUGAGGUCAUAUUCUUCUUGCAUUCAUUCACUAAUUGUCUUUCUUUUGUGUAAGUAUUUUUUUCGAAAAGGAGGAUUACCCCCGGCCUUUGCAUCAAGUUAUGCACACAGCCAUCUUUAUUAAUUGUUCACUAAGUUGUCUUUCUUUUGUGUCAGCUACCUUAUAUCUCCUAGCAGUAAUGUUAUAGGUGAAGCUGCCGCUAACAAAGAUUGAAGCAUGCAUGCAGACUUGCCAAACAAGGUCUAUUUACUGUUUUUUUGUAUGUAUAAUGCCGGGAAAGUAAUAUUUUUUUAUAUCAAUAUCUUCCGAUUCAACAGACUAUGCGCAUUAAAUUGAUUUGUAUGCUCUUCAGAUCUGUAUCUUUUUUGUACAAUGUAUCAAGUUUGAUUAUUGAUUUCAUUGUCAUAUAUCAGUGAUAACAAUGUCAUGUAGAUGUUCAUGCCUGAUAACCUUACUAAAGGGCCAACUAAAGGGCCAUUGUCUGUUGUAAUGAUCAGGAUUGCUAUCUUAGAUGAUCUAUGAGCUUUAGAGUUGUGGUCGCUGGUGAUAUGGAAUAGUUGAACAGAGUAAGGAUUUGUGAUGACACAAAAUCUAAAUGAAGGUUUCAGAUUUCUCAGUUUCCAGUUUUGGUCAUGGGCGAUCUAGAAGCUGUAGGUUCGGCAAGAGAAAGAUUUUUUGUGAGGAUAGUUGUUUCCUGAAGAUGUAUUCUUGACGUAAUGAUGGCUCAAGUUUAAGUUUAUGUGCUUUCAUGGUCAAAGAGUAUUGGAUCAUAAUUUGCACUAUUGUCCAUAAACCAUACAUCAAAUUAUUGUUGGAACUUUGUGAUAACACUUUGAAGAAUGAAUGCAUA
rnacentral:rRNA from 1 species